GAUGAAUGCUGGCGGCGUGCCUAAUACAUGCAAGUCGAGCGGUAACAGGGAAUUCCACCGUUUCCUUGACACACCUAGCGCUUUAUCGUAGGUUGUUGACUUCGAGGGAACCGUGGAAUUCUGCUGACGAGCGGCGGACGGCUGAGUAACGCGUGGGAACGGACCCCAAAGUGAGGGAUAACUACUCGAAAGAGUGGCUAAUACCGCAUGUGAUCUUCGGAUUAAAGCUUUUGCGCUUUGGGACUGGCCUGCGUACGAUUAGAUAGUUGGUAGGGUAAUGGCCUACCAAGUCGACGAUCGUUAGAUGGUUUGAGAAGAUGAUCAUCCAGACUGGGACUGAGACACGGCCCAGACUCC
rnacentral:rRNA from 1 species